AACUCCACAAAGCUCUCAGUAAUUAAAUUUACUAAAGAUGAAUCAAAACAUGUUGGUCCGCUCUGCUCGGCCAACCCUAGCCUCCAUUUGCCGCCUUUUCUCCGCCGCCGCGACGUCGGUGGACACGACGGCUGAUGCAGCCGUGGUAAAGACUCGCAGCGGAGGAGCAAGAGGAGGAGCAGCGACCAAUAAAAAAGAAACCGUAGUUGGAGGAAGAGACACUCUAGGAGGGAGACUGUUAGGCCUCACGUAUACGAAACGCAGUGCCGUUGUUACCAUCCGGAAAUGGAGAGAAGAAGGCCACUCCGUUCGCAAAUACGAACUUAAUCGAAUCGUUAGAGAGCUUCGUAAGAUCAAACGCUAUAAACACGCUCUUGAGAUAUGUGAAUGGAUGGUUCUACAAGAAGAUAUAAAGCUGCAGGCUGGUGAUUAUGCUGUACAUCUUGAUUUGAUUUCCAAAAUCCGUGGUUUGAACAGUGCUGAGAAGUUUUUCGAAGAUAUGCCAGAUCAAAUGCGAGGCCAUGCUGCUUGCACUUCUCUUCUCCAUAGUUAUGUGCAGAACAAGUUGUCUGAUAAAGCAGAGGCAUUGUUUGAGAAAAUGGGUGAAUGUGGUUUCUUGAAGUCUUGUCUGCCUUACAAUCAUAUGCUAUCCAUGUAUAUAUCCAAAGGGCAGCUUGAGAAAGUCCCUGUGCUGAUUAAGGAGUUGAAGAUCAAAGCGUCUCCUGAUAUUGUUACUUAUAAUCUGUGGCUGACUGCGUUUGCCUCUGGAAGUGAUGUCGAAGGUGCGGAGAAAGUUUACCUUAAGGCGAAGGAAGCAAAGCUGAAUCCAGACUGGGUGACUUAUAGCGUGUUAACGAAUUUGUAUGCUAAGACUGAUAAUCUCGAAAAGGCGAAACUUGCUUUGAAGGAGAUGGAGAAGUUAGUUUCUAAGAAGAACCGGGUUGCUUAUGCUUCUCUCAUAAGCCUGCACGCGAACUUGGGAGACAAAGAUGGAGUUGACUUAACUUGGAAGAAGGUUAAGUCCUCUUUCAAGAAAAUGAAUGAUGCUGAAUACCUCAGCAUGAUAUCUGCGGUGGUGAAACUUGGUGAAUUCGUGCAAGCCAAAGCUUUGUACGAUGAAUGGGAAGCUGUCUCUGGAACAAGAGAUGCUAGAAUCCCAAAUCUAAUCCUUGCUGACUACAUGAACAGAGACGAGGUUCUUCUGGGAGAGAAGUUUUACGAACGCAUUGUGGAAAAAGGGAUAAACCCGAGCUAUUCUACAUGGGAGAUUCUCACAUGGGCUUAUCUGAAACGUAAAGAUAUGGAGAAAGUAGUAGAUUGUUUCGGUAAAUCCAUUGAUGCUGUGAAGAAAUGGACUGUGAAUGUAAGAUUGGUUAAAGGAGUGUGCAAGGAACUCGAGGAACAAGGGAAUGUUAAAGAAGCAGAGAAGCUAAUGACUAUACUCCGAAAGGCUGGUCAUGUGAACACUCAGCUCUACAAUUCUCUAUUACGUACUUACGCUAAAGCAGGCGAAAUGGCACUCAUAGUUGAAGAGCGUAUGGCAAAGGAUAAUGUAGAGUUAGAUGAAGAGACUAAGGAGCUCAUAAAACUAACCAGUCAAAUGCGUGUGACUGACAUCUCGUCCACCAUUUCGUAGCCUAAACGCUGCCGAGUUAGUUUCGGUCUGCAAUUUCCAUAAACGGAGGAAUACAGAAAACAUAUCUGGAGUGAAUCCAUAUUUGAAGAGCUGAUCGUUUAAAGAACAAGUCCCGACCAAUCGAGAUACUUGACUUGAAGCAGUACUAUUCACUUGCUCGGACAAUUAUAGCUUGAAGAGAAUAAUCUGCCCAAAAGCUGCAAAUGAAUGAAGUUGCUGCGAAGGUCACUGUUAGAGCUAGCAGUCCAUACCAAUUUAAUAAUUACUUAAACUUAUCUCCAAGAUUAGUCAUGUAGUCUCACGACUAAUCUUGAUAUAGAGCCCACUUGAGGUAAAAGAUCAUCGUAAAAGAAAUUCGAAGAACUUGGGAUGGUUGGUGAAGGUUGUUAAGAAGAAGUGGCGCUGUUGGUCAUUUGAUUUUCCUAACUUUUCAAUAUAUAAAGAUAUGCAUUAUGGGCUUUGUUCAAAAAAAAAAAAAAAAAGAUAUGUAUUAUGGGAUAGUAGAUGACUUAUAAAUGAUAAAAAAUCAUUACUU